rnacentral:rRNA from 1 species
UACGAAGGGGGGCUAGCGUUGCUCGGAAUUACUGGGCGUAAAGGGCGCGUAGGCGGCCUUCUAAGUCAGACGUGAAAUCCCCCCGGCUUAACCUGGGAACUGCGUCUGAUACUGGAGGGCUUGAGUAUGGGAGAGGGAUGUAGAAUUCCAGGUGUAGCGGUGAAAUGCGUAGAUAUCUGGAGGAAUACCGGUGCGAAGGCGGCAUCCUGGACCAUUACUGACGCUGAGGCGCGAAAGCUAGGGGAGCAAACGGGG